rnacentral:rRNA from 1 species
CAGCAGCCGCGGGAAUACAAAGGGUGCAAGCGUUACUCGGAAUUACUGGGCGUAAAGCGUGCGUAGGUGGUGGUUUAAGUCCGUUGUGAAAGCCCUGGGCUCAACCUGGGAAUUGCAGUGGAUACUGGGUCACUAGAGUGUGGUAGAGGAUAGUGGAAUUUCCGGUGUAGCAGUGAAAUGCGUAGAGAUCGGAAGGAACAUCUGUGGCGAAGGCGACUAUCUGGGCCAACACUGACACUGAGGCACGAAAGCGUGGGGAGCAAACAGGAUUAGAUACCCCUGUAGUCCCUGUCUCUUAUAC